rnacentral:lncRNA from 1 species
ACCUGCCCUAUCUCACACUUCUAACAAACUCCUAAGGGAACAUGCAGACCGAUGCCUUCCUGCGCCAUUCAUUGCCUCAAACCCAGCACAACCACAAACUGAAUUGGACUCUCUUCAACUCGGUGACUCAGUCUUACUUCUGGAACUGCAUCCUCAAUUGUUGGAACCUCACUGGACAGGACCCCAUACAGUCAUACUUACUACCCCAAAUGGUGGCCAAGCUUUUGGGUCACUCCCCCUGGUACCAUGUCACCUGCCUUAAAAAGGCACCUGUUUCAAAUG